rnacentral:rRNA from 1 species
UACGGAGGGAGCUAGCGUUGUUCGGAAUUACUGGGCGUAAAGCGCGCGUAGGCGGCUUUGUAAGUUGGAUGUGAAAUCCUGGGGCUCAACCUCAGAAUUGCAUUCAAUACUGCUUAGCUAGAGAGCUGUAGAGGAGACUGGAAUUUACGGUGUAGCAGUGAAAUGCGUAGAUAUCGUAAGGAACGCCAGUGGCGAAAGCGAGUCUCUGGGCGGCAUCUGACACUGAAGCACGAAGGCCAGGGGAGCAAACGGG